rnacentral:rRNA from 1 species
UACGUAGGGGGCUAGCGUUGUCCGGAAUCAUUGGGCGUAAAGCGCGUGUAGGCGGUCCGGUAAGUCCGCUGUGAAAGUCGGGGGCUCAACCCUCGAAUGCCGGUGGAUACUGUCGGGCUAGAGUGCGGAAGAGGCGAGUGGAAUUCCUGGUGUAGCGGUGAAAUGCGCAGAUAUCAGGAGGAACACCUAUGGCGAAGGCAGCUCGCUGGGACGGUACUGACGCUGAGGCGCGAAAGCGUGGGGAGCGAACAGG